rnacentral:rRNA from 1 species
UACGGAGGAUGCGAGCGUUAUCCGGAUUUAUUGGGUUUAAAGGGUGCGUAGGUUGUUUUUUAAGUCAGCGGUGAAAGUUUGUGGCUCAACCAUAAAAUUGCCGUUGAAACUGGAAGACUUGAGUGUGUUUGAGGUAGGCGGAAUGCGUGGUGUAGCGGUGAAAUGCAUAGAUAUCACGCAGAACUCCGAUUGCGAAGGCAGCUUACUAAGCCAUAACUGACACUGAGGCUCGAAAGUGUGGGUAUCAAACAGG